AGCAGCAGAUCCCCACCCGCCGCUGCCGUCGAAAUUCUUGGCGCAGAAAUAGGUGGCGGAAUCCUCGUCCCUGAGGCUGUUCAUGGUCAGCGUCACCGAGCUCUGCCCGUUGUCCCUGGAGAUCGUGAACCGGCCCUUGACCGACGAAGCGUAUCUG